rnacentral:rRNA from 1 species
AUUGAACGCUGGCGGCAGGCUUAACACAUGCAAGUCGAGCGGAGAUGAGGUGCUUGCACCUUAUCUUAGCGGCGGACGGGUGAGUAAUGCUUAGGAAUCUGCCAUUUAGUGGGGGACAACAUUCCGAAAGGAAUGCUAAUACCGCAUACGUCCUACGGGAGAAAGCAGGGGAUCUUCGGACCUUGCGCUAAAUGAUGAGCCUAAGUCGGAUUAGCUAGUUGGUGGGGUAAAGGCCUACCAAGGCGACGAUCUGUAGCGGGUCUGAGAGGAUGAGCCGCCACACUGGGACUGAGACACGGCCCAGACUCCUACGGGAGGCAGCAGUGGGGAAUAUUGGACAAUGGGCGGAAGCCUGAUCCAGCCAUGCCGCGUGUGUGAAGAAGGCCUUUUGGUUGUAAAGCACUUUAAGCGAGGAGGAGGCUGCUAGUACUAAUACGUGAGUAUUUUGACGUUACCGACAGAAUAAGCACCGGCUAACUCUGUGCCAGCCGCCGCCGUAACAC